rnacentral:tRNA from 1 species
GCCUUCGUGGUGUAGUGGUCAGCACGCUCGUCACAUAAGCGAGAAGUCCGUGGUUCUAUUCCUGGGGAGGGCG